rnacentral:lncRNA from 1 species
UCCCCGACUUUCGCAUCCUUGAGCAAGGACACGCCAUAUGCAUUCGAAAUUUCCACUUUGGAAUGAGGGUUUAGGUCACCGAGCCAGUUGUCAAGUUCAGCAGGGUUCUAUUGCAGUGAUUUAAAUAAAUGGAACAGGGAAAUAUCAUUACAAACAAGAAUAUAAAUGUGAAAGAGAACCCAGAGAUAAAAGAUAACCAACCUCUGAUAGGAAUAGCCUCUCAAACAACCUCACUUCCACCUUUAAUGGAUCAACUCCAGGAGAAGGUUGAGCAACCCAAUGGAGCACACCCUAUAAACAAUUUGUUUGCAUAGGUUACCAACCUGAUCUAACAAACUCUUGGCAACAUUAACCUUAAAUAACAUAUUUAUCAUAAGUGGUAAACCUUAGGCUUUGUCUUCUUUGAAGGAUCAUACUCAGCCCGAAUUUCAAGAAUAGUCUCAUUAUCAUCAGCCAGAAUAACUUCAGUACACUUUAUAGGAAAUGCAUAUCUGCACAAAAAGGGGGAAAAUUGAAUGUUGCACCUACAACUUCUCAUGCAAAAUAUUAAUUUGUAUCUUUUACUAACCUGAGUAUCGCAGAUUUACCAGGAGCAAGGCCAUAAUAGUCUUUUGAAUCUUGCAUCCGGAAAUCCGAACGUUCAAUAUAUACAACAUUGGAAAAGGGAACCUAAGAACAAAUAUAUUACAAACAAAAAUCAGAGACAUUUACAAGGGUACCGGCCUCACAUGAAGAGAGUAGUGUAAAUCAUUAAUAGUAAAGCUAAAAAUAAGUACGUUAGUUUAGUAGAACAACAAGGAUGGUUUAAUUUCCUAAAACCUUAGUACUCCCUAAAGAUAUCAAUUUUCACAAGUAAAAAUUCACCUUGUAGAAAGCAGAAGCAUCAUCGGCUUGAGCAUCAGGCCAUUUCUUUGCAUCAACAUCAAUUGCUGAGUUGGCUUCAAGAUUAGUAAUGACAACCUUAGAAGAAAGAACCAAAGCUAGUUAAAGUCAAACAAUAUCUGGUAGUAUCGCGUACAAAGAAAGCCAACAGAUAAUGCACCUUGAGUGGAUGCAAAACAACCAUUGCGCGAGGAGCUGUUUUAUUUAAUUCUUCUCUAACAUGAUACUCGAGGCGUUCCACAGAGAUCAAAGUGCCAUCACUACAGAAAAAAGGAAGAAUGGUUAAUAACACCAUGCACUACUAGUCUGAAAUAUCAAGAUUUCUUUUAUCAAUUUUUUUUGGUACUACCAAGGGUAGCCCUCACCCUACACGUAAGGAACAAAUCCCUUUCGGGAUGCAUGACUGUCCCUCUCAACAAGUGUCAUUCCUAGGAAUCGAACAUUUGACCUUUUGGUCAUCCUGAGGAUCUAGCGAGGCCAUACACUACUUACUACUAGACCAUGUCUGGUUGGUUUGAAGUCAGUGUGCAUGUUCUGGGCCAUGAACAACAAUUAAUGGUCAAAGCUUUACAUAUCAAGCUUCACGGCAUGACACGCAAAACAAUCAAAGAAGAAUAAAAAAUGAAAACAAAAAACCAGGUGAACAGAGCAUCGUGAAGAUAGUGACUUAAAUAAUGGCUGGAGACUUGAAAAGAAACUUCAUUGGUUUAUGUGUAGCAUACCUAGCUACUAAAAAGACUUCGAUUUCAUUAGCUAAUUUAUUCAUUAACUUAUAUUUUAACAACUAUUAUUAUUUUUAGCUUAAACUAAACUUGCAAAAGCAAUAGCACUGCACUCAAAACUAAUUUGUAUUUUACUGACUUGUAAGUAUUUCACCCAUGUAUCCCUUUUUAAGAGUUGAGUGAAACUUCGAACUUCAGUGAAACUCAGUUGGCAAAAGCAAGAGUUAUGUUUCCAGUGGGGACAUGACCAGAUGAGCAGAAUUUGUUCUUUCUACAUUAACGGCUUAGAAGUAGUACUCUACAACAACCAAUUUUCAAUUCUCACGACUAGUGUAUUUGAAUAUGAUUUCAUAUACUACCUUCUAGUGAUUCCGAUUCCUCGGACAAACGCAUUAAUUGCAGUUGGAGUCAUGCCUCUUCGACGCAAACCAGCUAGUGUCAUCAGACGAGGAUCAUCCCAUCCAUCAACCCACUUCUCUGUCACGAUGCGAUUUAGCUUCAAGAAAGAAUAAUAAAAAUAUAUUAGAGAAUGGAUAAUUAUAAGCGUUAUGACAGUAUAUUUUUACAAAUGUUUACAGUGUUCAAAUCAUUGCUGAGGUAUAUCAAUAUUCACUUAUACUGGCAAAAUAAGCUGAAUCCAUUUGAAGUCAAUUUGGAUUAACAACUGUUAAUCACGGAAUGACAUAUAUCCUGUCCGGUGAACACAGUCCAAAACUUAGAUUAAUUUUACUUAAAUGUGUAAAAUAUAUGCUUAGGAAAGGGAAUGAUUCAAUUUUACAGUCUUAAACCAUUCUCCUUGUGAAGGAACUGGGGCCUGGGGGAUUGAAAUGCUGUUAAGUGGUAUGAGAACAACAGUAAUGUCAGUAUUACAGCACUGAGUAAACAAAAAUAAUUAUCAAACUACAAAACCACACCAGAGGUAAUUACAUAUCUAGGAAACUUUUGAUUGCACCCUUUAAACGAUGUACAUGACAGAAGGGACAACAAAGAUUUACAGAGUGUUUGUGCAUAUCCAUCAACAAAAAAUGAUUCUAUAUCAAAAGUGAUUAUUUGAACAAGUUACCUGCCGACAUGCCUCCCACCUUGAUUUUACUUCUCGAACUCCAUUCAUGAGCCCUACUUACCGCCCUUACCAUAGUUGUCUUUUAGGGUGACAGUCCGAUUAAAGACAAGUUUUUCUGGCGUAGAGUCCUGGUCGACCGUAAAAUAUCCUGGAAUGGCAUAUAAAAGGAUCAUUUAUUGAGGAAACAAAGACAAGAAAUUACAUCGUCUAGCAUCCAUGCAUUCUGAACUACUCAAUCUUUGCUCAAAUAUGCACCUCUGAAGAUCAAAUCAAGAACAAUAAUUUGCCAAAAUAAAAUACCUAAUCUUUCAAAUUGGAACCUGUCCCCGACUUUCGCAUCCUUGAGCAAGGACACGCCAUAUGCAUUCGAAAUUUCCACUUUGGAAUGAGGGUUUAGGUCACCGAGCCAGUUGUCAAGUUCAGCAGGGUUCUAUUGCAGUGAUUUAAAUAAAUGGAACAGGGAAAUAUCAUUACAAACAAGAAUAUAAAUGUGAAAGAGAACCCAGAGAUAAAAGAUAACCAACCUC